ACGGGUGAGUAACGCGUGGAUAACCUGCCGUAUACAGGGGGAUAACACUUAGAAAUAGGUGCUAAUACCGCAUAAGCGCACGGUUCCGCAUGGAACAGUGUGAAAAACUCCGGUGGUAUGCGAUGGAUCCGCGUCUGAUUAGCCAGUUGGCGGGGUAACGGCCCACCAAAGCGACGAUCAGUAGCCGGCCUGAGAGGGUGAACGGCCACAUUGGGACUGAGACACGGCCCAAACUCCUACGGGAGGCAGCAG
rnacentral:rRNA from 1 species